AUUGAACGCUGGCGGCAUGCUUUACACAUGCAAGUCGAACGGUAACAGGCCGCAAGGUGCUGACGAGUGGCGAACGGGUGAGUAAUGCAUCGGAACGUGCCCAGUCGUGGGGGAUAACGCAGCGAAAGCUGUGCUAAUACCGCAUACGAUCUGUGGAUGAAAGCGGGGGACCUUCGGGCCUCGCGCGAUUGGAGCGGCCGAUGUCAGAUUAGGUAGUUGGUGGGGUAAAGGCUCACCAAGCCGACGAUCUGUAGCUGGUCUGAGAGGACGACCAGCCACACUGGGACUGAGACACGGCCCAGACUCCUACGGGAGGCAGCAGUGGGGAAUUUUGGACAAUGGGCGCAAGCCGGAUUCAGCAAUGCCGCGUGCAGGAAGAAGGCCUUCGGGUUGUAAACUGCUUUUGUCAGGGAAGAAAUCUUCUGGGUUAAUACCUCGGGAGGAUGACGGUACCUGAAGAAUAAGCACCGGCUAACUUCGUGCCAGCCGCCGCCGUAACAC
rnacentral:rRNA from 1 species